rnacentral:rRNA from 1 species
GACGAACGCUGGCGGCGUGCCUAAUACAUGCAAGUAGAACGCUGAAGAGAGGAGCUUGCUCUUCUUGGAUGAGUUGCGAACGGGUGAGUAACGCGUAGGUAACCUGCCUGGUAGCGGGGGAUAACUAUUGGAAACGAUAGCUAAUACCGCAUAAAAUUGAUUAUUGCAUGAUAAUUAAUUGAAAGAUGCAAUUGCAUCACUACCAGAUGGACCUGCGUUGUAUUAGCUAGUUGGUGAGGUAACGGCUCACCAAGGCGACGAUACAUAGCCGACCUGAGAGGGUGAUCGGCCACACUGGGACUGAGACACGGCCCAGACUCCUACGGGAGACAGCAGUAGGGAAUCUUCGGCAAUGGGGGGAACCCUGACCGAGCAACGCCGCGUGAGUGAAGAAGGUUUUCGGAUCGUAAAGCUCUGUUGUAAGAGAAGAACGGGUGUGAGAGUGGAUAGUUCACAGUUGACGGUAUCUACCA